CACUGUUGAGCCCAGGGACACGG
rnacentral:piRNA from 1 species